CAGCAACAAAAAGAAUCAACUCAAAAGAUCUUUCUUAAUAAAAAUGGAAAAUAAUUUCGUGAGCGAAAAGUUUCUGUCUUUUUCCAGCAAGAUCAAACAACCAUCACCAAAACUAGUCAGAAAGGUUUUACUUGGCACGAACAAAAAAAGAAACACAAAAAACACAAUCAUAACAGAAUUAAUAUGGUGAGGACACAACAAAACAGAAAGCAAAAAA
rnacentral:lncRNA from 1 species